GCCAGGCAUGGUGGCACAUGCCUGUAAUCCCAGCUACUUGGGAGGCUGAGGCAGGGGAAUUGCUUGAACCCAGGAGGCGGAGGCUGCAGUGAGCCAAGAACGCACCACUGCACUCCAGCCUGGGUGACAGAGCAAGACUCUGUCUAAA
rnacentral:SRP_RNA from 1 species